rnacentral:lncRNA from 10 species
AUUGAUAGUUUUUAAAGAUGUGGUUGUGAUUUUUGUAGUUUUAUGGAGGGAGAGAGAGUGAGUGAGCUUGUCUUAUAGAGAUGCAUAUUGAAAUGUUGGCAGCUGGAGUCAUAUUUGGGAUUUGCUCCAAAAUAGGCAAAGGCUUAUAGAUAAAACAAGAGUGAGUGACCGUGUGUUGAUUGUCACUGAAUAUGGGGGAAUAGGUACACAGGGGCUGGUUAUACUUCUCUGUUUUUGUGUGUGUUUAAAAUUUUCCAUUAAAAAAAUUAAAAAGUUGAGCCAGGCACAGUGACUCAUGCCUAUAAUCCCAGCACUUUGGGAGGCUGAGGUGGGAGGAUCCCUUGAGCCCAGGAGUUUGAGACUAGCCUGGGCAAUGUAGCAAGGCCCCUGUCUCUACAAAAGCAAAAAAAAUUAGUGAGGCAUGGUGACCCAGCUACUCCGGAAGCUGAGGUGGGAAGAUUACUUGAGCCUGGGAGAUCCAGGCUGCAGUGAGCAGUGAUUGUGCCACUGCCCUUUGGCCUGGGUUGCAG